rnacentral:rRNA from 1 species
UAGGGAAUCUUCCGCAAUGGACGCAAGUCUGACGGAGCAACGCCGCGUGAGUGAAGAAGGAUUUCGGUUCGUAAAACUCUGUUGUUAGAGAAGAACAGCGCAUAGAGUAACUGUUAUGCGUGUGACGGUAUCUAACCAGAAAGCCACGGCUAACUACGUGCCAGCAGCCGCGGUAAUACGUAGGUGGCAAGCGUUGUCCGGAUUUAUUGGGCGUAAAGCGAGCGCAGGCGGUCAAUUAAGUCUGAUGUGAAAGCCCCCGGCUCAACCGGGGGGGGUCAUUGGAAACUGGUUGGCUUGAGUGCAGAAGAGGAGGGUGGAAUUCCAUGUGUAGCGGUGAAAUGCGUAGAUAUAUGGAGGAACACCAGUGGCGAAGGCGACUCUCUGGUCUGUAACUGACGCUGAGGCUCGAAAGCGUGGGUAGCAAACAGG